GUGUCUGGAUGUAAGAUUUGGCUUUAAUUAUUUGCUUCAGGCAGAAAGUUCUCUCUCAUCCUAAAUGUACAGCAGCCGUUCGACAAACAUCAUUUAGUAAAGAUGGAAGAUCCCACAAGAAUGGAGUUGUGAAAGUCCC